AACACCGGCAGCUCUAGUGGUAACAAUUUUAUUGGGCCUAAAGCGUCCGUAGCCGGUUUAAUAAGUCUCUGGUGAAAUCCUGUAGCUUAACUGUGGGAAUUGCUGGAGAUACUAUUAGACUUGAGACCGGGAGAGGUUAGAGGUACUCCCAGGGUAGAGGUGAAAUUCUGUAAUCCUGGGAGGACCGCCUGUUGCGAAGGCGUCUAACUGGAACGGUUCUGACGGUGAGGGACGAAAGUUAGGGGCGCGAACCGGAUUAGAUACCCGGGUAGUCCUAACUGUAAACGAUGCGGACUUGGUGUUGGGUGGCUUUGAGCUGCUCCAGUGCCGAAGGGAAGCUGUUAAGUCCGCCGCCUGGGAAGUACGGUCGCAAGACUGAAACUUAAGGAAUUGGCGGGGGAGCACCACAACGCGUGGAGCCUGCCGGUUUAAUUGGAUUCAACGCCGGACAUCUCACCAGGGGCGACAGCUGUAUGAUAGCCAGGUUGAUGACUUUGCUUGACUAGCUGAGGAGGAGAGGUGCAUGG
rnacentral:rRNA from 1 species